GAUGAACGCUAGCUACAGGCUUAACACAUGCAAGUCGAGGGGAAACGACAUCGAAAGCUUGCUUUUGAUGGGCGUCGACCGGCGCACGGGUGAGUAACGCGUAUCCAACCUGCCCACCACUUGGGGAUAACCUUGCGAAAGUAAGACUAAUACCCAAUGAUAUCUCUAGAAGACAUCUGAAAGGGAUUAAGGGUUUAUCGGUGAUGGAUGGGGGUGCGUCUGAUUAGCUUGUUGGCGGGGUAACGGCCCACCAAGGCGACGAUCAGUAGGGGUCCUGAGAGGAAGGUCCCCCACAUUGGAACUGAGACACGGUCCAAACUCCUACGGGAGGCAGCAGUGAGGAAUAUUGGUCAAUGGGCGAGAGCCUGAACCAGCCAAGUAGCGUGCAGGAUGACGGCCCUAUGGGUUGUAAACUGCUUUUAUAAGGGAAUAAAGUGGGAGUCGUGACUCCUUUUGCAUGUACCUUAUGAAUAAGGACCGGCUAAUUCCGUGCCAGCAGCAGCCGCCGUAA
rnacentral:rRNA from 1 species